CUGAGGCCCGGGUCUCCCAGCUGGUUGGUGGAAGAACCAGCCUAGAACCCAGGUGCAGCUCUGUUAGCGCCCGACGCAUGCAGCUUAGCUGAGUGCGCCUGGGGCUGUGGGCAGCGCUUUCCUGAGGCUGGCCUGCCUUGCCCUGACGGCUGAGGACCAGGAUCAGGGAUCUCCCCCAGGGACAGAUGUGACCCCUGGACUGCUAGUAACUGGAUCACAGGGACCUCGUUAAAAUGCAGAUUCUUCCCAAACUAGAUUCUCUGGAAGGGGGCUGUGCAAUCUGGAUUCUACACGUUGCCCAGCUCUGCCUGCCCGGGGCAGCCACAUCCCGUCAUCCCACAGAACGAUGACAAUGACUGUAGGAAUGCUUCCGUCUCCAGGCUGCUCCUGUCGUCCUGCAUGUCACUUCCCCAAGGCCCUCCUCAUUCACCUCUUGGGGACUCCCAGAGCAGCCCAAGCCAGGGCGAGGUGUCUGCACUCACAAAGGAAAAGCAACUUUCCUUAAGCCCCACUCUAAUGAGUGGAAGGGCAGGACUUGAACUCAGCAUCCGGCCUGGUGACCUGCCCAUUGCCACCUGUCCCUCAACUCCCUGGAGUAUGACAAGUCCCAUGGGAACCUUGCAGGGUGAGAGCCUGGGCCAGAUUCUGCCUCUGCCUCUAGACCUACCUGACUUGAUCUCUGGGAGCCUCAGUUUCUUUCUACAUUGCAUAAUACGGUGCUAGCACCUCUGACCUCACAGCACAGUGAGGAUGUGAUCAAGACAUCAGUGCCUCUGCUCGAGCCCCUCGCUUGCCCCCGAUGGGAUGGUCCCUCACGAUGUCCCGGACAUGCCAUCCUGACAUUUUGACAUCCAAGCUCCUCAGCACAGCAACCCCGCCCUGAGGGCUCUGCCCCUGCCACCUCUUCAGGGUCCUCUCUCCCAUUGCCCUCUUUGAUGUCCCUUUGAACUGAUUUGACUAAAUCCCUUUUGCCCCCUGGCCUGUGGCAUGAUGUCCCUUCCCCCUGGAGCCCACUCUUCCUCCUCCCCACCCCAGCUGCUGCCUCCUCACCUCCCCUAGAACCUGCCCAGGGCUGGGUGGGUGCCUGGUUUCUGUGCCUGCCCUGCGUGGAGGUCUCUUUGCUUACCAUGCCAUGUACAUCUCCCCACACUGUGAAAGUCCCUGGAAGGUACACUCUGGUUUCCUCACCCUGGGGACCCCAAUAGCUGUCUCACUGACCGGGGGCUGGAGGUGAGCAAAGGCUCUGGAACCAGGCCUGGCUUGGAUGCUGCGAUGUGUGCCUCACAAAGACAUGCUGAAGUUCAAACCCCCAGUACCUGUGAACGUGACCCAACUUGGCAAUAGGAUCUUGCAGAUGUAAUAAAGUUAAAAUAAGGUCAUUAGUGUGGGCCCUAAUCCAAUAUGACUGGUGUCCUUAUAAGAAGAGGAAAAGCAGACACACAAGGAGAAGCCCGCGUGAUCGUGACAGCAGAGGUGGGACUGAUGCGGCUGCAAGCUGAGGAACGCCGAGGACUGCCGGCCACCACCAAGGGCAAGGAAGAGGCAGGAAGGAUGCCACCCAGGGUGGCAGGGGAAGCAUAGCUCUGCUGACACCUUCAUCUGGGACUUCUAGCCUCCAGAAAUGUGGGGAACGAAUUUCUGCAUUUUAAGCCAUCCAGUUCACGAUAUUUGGUUACAGUAACCCUGGGAAGCCAAUACUGAGACCUGGCUCUGCAACAGAUACUACGUAAUCGGUGAUGAUUUGCUUGUGUUCUGUGCUGCCGUUUCCUGUCAAAUGAGGAUGAAGAUUGCGAUACUUACCUUGUGGAGCUGGGAGGAUUAAACGGGUUAUUAAUAAUGGUGUGAA